rnacentral:rRNA from 1 species
UUUAGAGGAAGUAAAAGUCGUAACAAGGUUUCCGUAGGUGAACCUGCGGAAGGAUCAUUAUCGAAUUAUAAGCGAGGGUUGUCGCUGGCCUCGAAAGAGGCAUGUGCACGCCCGAGCUCUUAAAUCCACAACACACCUGUGAACCCACCGUAGGCCUUCGGGCUUAUGUAUCAUAUACUCUGAAUGUGUCAUAGAAUGUUCAUGUUGCCUUAAAACGCAAUCAAAUACAACUUUCAACAACGGAUCUCUUGGCUCUCGCAUCGAUGAAGAACGCAGCGAAAUGCGAUAAGUAAUGUGAAUUGCAGAUUUUCAGUGAAUCAUCGAAUCUUUGAACGCACCUUGCGCUCCUUGGUAUUCCGAGGAGCAUGCCUGUUUGAGUGUCAUUAAAUUCUCAACCCCACCGAUUUGCUUCGGGGGGAUUGGACUUGGAGCGUGCUGGCGAAGGUCGGCUCCUCUUUAAAUGCAUCAGUGGAGAGAAACUUGCCCCAGUGUGAUAAUCCUGUUGCGCUGUGGUGGGUGAAAGUCUGCUUCCAACCGUCCCUCCGGGGACAUACGUCAUCUUAUUUUGACCUCAAAUCAGGUAGGACUACCCGCUGAACUUAAGCAUAUCAAUAAGCGGAGGAA